rnacentral:rRNA from 1 species
CAGCCGCCGCGGUAAUACGUAGGUGGCAAGCGUUGUCCGGAUUUAUUGGGCGUAAAGCGAGCGCAGGCGGACAAAUAAGUCUAAUGUGAAAGCCCUCGGCUUAACCGAGGAACUGCAUCGGAAACUGUUUUUCUUGAGUGCAGAAGAGGAGAGUGGAACUCCAUGUGUAGCGGUGGAAUGCGUAGAUAUAUGGAAGAACACCAGUGGCGAAGGCGGCUCUCUGGUCUGCAACUGACGCUGAGGCUCGAAAGCAUGGGUAGCGAACAGGAUUAGAUACCCUGGUAGUCCAUGCCGUAAACGAUGAGUGCUAAGUGUUGGGAGGUUUCCGCCUCUCAGUGCUGCAGCUAACGCAUUAAGCACUCCGCCUGGGGAGUACGACCGCAAGGUUGAAACUUAAAGGAAUUGGCGGG